GUAGCCUCUAGUUGAGAAGCUUCAAUCAGACGACGGAAUCAAAACAGAUAUGCAGAUCUGUUAAUCUUUCAUCAUCCUCAUCUGCGACUCACGGUACAUCUGCGACUCCGGCGAUCAUCCUCGUCACUCAUCGAUCUGAUACCGUACGUCUGAAAUCAUCUCACCAAUCUGAUUUUGAGGAGAUCUGCCGCUCGAAGAAAUCCUUUCGCCGAUCUGAUUCUGGCGACACUGAUCAUCAUUUCCUUUAAGGUUAGGUUUCGUCUAUAAGGUUAUAUCAUUGUUAACGGUUUAGAUUCAUUACACUGUAUCGAAUUGCUAGGGUUAUGGAAGCUAGAGGUUGUGAUUUUGUUUUGUUUGUGUUUGAUUAACUGAUUGAGUUCUAGUUUUAGGUUUUACAGAAAUUUGAGCUCCUGACUCUGUAUGUUUCUUUGAUCAAAUUUUAAUCAUAGGUUCUACGGAAAUUAGGAUUACUCAACAAUUGAAUCUGUUUUUUGUGUUGUGUUUCUGAAAGUGAAAUUAGGAUUAUUCGACAAUUGAAUUUCAGUUUUAGGUUUUAGAGAAAUUAGAGGUCCCGACUCUGUUUUUCUUCGUGUUUAAUUGUGUUUUGGAAAGUGAAAUUAGGACUAUUGAUCUGAUUAUAAUUUUAGGUUUUACAGAAAUUAGAGCUCCUGAUCAUGUGUUUCUUCUUGCAUGUUCGUAUUCAGGUUUUUAGGAAAGUGGAAUUAGGAUAAGUAAGCGAAUAUAAUUCGUUGUUUGAAUUUUAAUCUUAGGUUUUACAGAAGUAAGAGCUCCUGACUCUGUUUUUCUUGUGUAUUCGUAUCAAUUUGUGUUUAAAUUAGGCUUUACAAAAAUUAAAACUGUUGGCUCUGUUUUUAUUUUUGUGUGUUCGUAUUCAAUUGUGAUUAGUAAAGUGAAAGUAGGCCCGUCGUUUGCCUUCCACGCCGGUAGAAAUCCUGUCGCCCCACACACAACGCUAAAUACAGGGUGGUUUAAUGGACUGGCCUCCAUGUCAGAUAUCCACGUUCACACCGUAUUUUCUAACCCAAAAGGACAGAAUUACACUUUCAUUAUUUAUUUUAUUAUUAUCUUGACACGCAAGAAUAAUGAGUUUCAAUAAACCAAAGUGUUUGGUUCUGUACAUGCCAAUUUUACAAGUACUCUCUCUCUCUCUCUCUCUCUCUCUCUCUCUAAAAACUCUCGAUUUCGACUCCCACACACACACACAGAUGAUCUAGUUGCCGAAUCACCAACUCACGUCGUUUCUUCGCAAAUCAUCCUCAUCAAUCUUCAGAUCACAUCCUCAUAGAUCCAGGUAUGAUAUCGCUCGCUCGCUUUAUCUAUCUAUCGACCUAUACAUACACGUAUUUAUGUAUAUAUCGUGUUUACUGCGUCAUCUAUGUUAGUUGUUUGUUCAAUCGUUCGUUGAUCUUCUUCAAUGCAGCAGGCAAAUUAGCUACGUAAGGUCCAUGUGUUUCCCCUAACGGUGUUGCUAACAUGCACCUCCUUUAGGAACCAACGAACUACUACGUGUGUGAGUGUGGUGGACCGGUAAUUAGGUGUUUGUUGCUGAAUUGAUAGGUGCUGUUGUGUGAUGAUGUCGGCUAAUCAGGUGGUGAAAUUACGGAGAAAAGAGUUAGCGGCAUGCAUGACAUGCCCUAUCUGCAAUAAAUUGUUGCGAGAUGCUACUACUGUUCCUGAAUGUCUUCAUACGUGUGAGUCUGUUUAUCUGUUUGGUAUUGUUUUAUCCAUUUCGAUCGUAAUUCUCGAUUCGCCACUACGAGUUUGACUUUGUAGUAUCACAAUUGGGCUUCUUCGUGAUUUAUAGAUUAUUAUUCAUGUUGACUGUCAAAAUAAUUGUGUGUUUGUCUUGUUAAGUUGAUUGAUGUGACUAUAGGAAUGAUUCAGUUACUUGUCAAAAUAUGUCAUGAAAUGUAGGGUGCAGGCCAAUUGAAACUUAAGUUUUAUUUAGGGGUUAAACAUGCAUGCAAUUCUGAUUGAAGAUUAUGUAAAUAUGUGUUAUGAAGAUAAUUAUUUGAUUAUAAUCUAGUGUUAAUUAGGUAACAUGUUAAUGGUAAUGCUUAUCUUACUGUAGUUUUAUAUGAUUAAUUUCAUACUGGUUGCAUAAGAAAUAGUAGUCAAAUGAAAGAGGAUUUCUUUCAAACACUUAACAUCAGUUAUCAAAGGUGAGUUUGGAUCUUUGUACUCUCUUUGGGGUUCAAACAUGGUGUUUGGGUAAGAUGAUAAAGCUUUGAAUAAUCGAUUUGAUACUGUGUUAAUGGGCACGUGUUUGAAGAAAUGCAAAGGCCCGAUACACCUUUGUACAACAUUAAGGCUUACUUGCCCGUUGUCGAGUCAUUUGGGUUUUCAGGUGCAUCGAGGGCGGUGACUUCGGGUCAAGCCUUUUCCCGCAAUCGGUGUUUGACCAUUGGGAAAUGAUGUCUUCUGACCCGUUGGAACCGGGGUCGCAAGCUACCGCACUUGUGGCUAGUAUUCGCAAGAGAAAAGGGUUAAAGGAACAGCUCACUCCCCUCUCUGAAUUUGAGGACAAGCUGUAAGUUGGUGGUUAAGAAAAGAGGUUAAUAAAUAAGAAAAUAUUAUUUGUGUGAGUAUUAUAAGUUAGUAUCUUUAAUAGUUAAAAUUUUUCUGUUAAUGUUAUAACUAUAUAGGGUCAUGCUGCCUUAGUAGGAUAUGCAGCUUACAUCCUAUGAAUCUAUGAUGUCUUAUUUUCUGUAAUGUGUGUUUAAUUAAUAUGUCGAGUUUGUGUUAAAGUUUUCAGUUUUAGUGUUGUUUAAGCUAAUCUUUGUGGGUUUCUAUUAUCCGUUUUAAGCAUCUGAGUGGAGGUGAACACGGACCAAACUUGACCGGGUCUAUACGGGACCGGAAACUGGAAGUGAGGGGAAAGGGAUACCUUCUCGGAUCGUUAGUGGCGGGUUUUGGUGGUGGUUAGGGGAGUGACGAAGAUGGCCUCAAGAGCUCCGACGAAACAUCAAGUGUUACAGCCAUAAGAGAAGCAGAUUCACAUCAGAAAAUUACUCCGUCUCCGGGUUUAGGCUUGUUAGUGAUGCUGUUGUUACAUUGACGACGUUUCUGGAUAAGCAAAUUGGAUUUAAAUGAUCGGCGAGCGUCACAAGCGAGCAAGCAUUGAGUUUGUUCAGGAGCCUUCAACGAUUGUAAGUAAUUUUUAAUUAUGCACGAAUUUAGUUGUUUCUGAUGCUUAAUUUCUUGAUUGAUGAAUCAAUUUUUGGUUUAAGUGAUGUGACGGAUGCAAAAUCGCUAAAUUUGCUACCUCAGGUAGGUUACGUCUGCAAUUGAGGAGUUAUUAGUAGCACAGGGAGAACCAUUGGUAACUGAUUUGAGCAUAGAGUUGUUCUAAAGUUAUGCUUAUUAGGUUUUAUAUGCUUUGUGUUUGUACUUUUUACAUAUGGUACAACUAUCUAGCUUACUUUUAGCUCCACGUUUUGACUACGGGUGUAAAUUUUUCCUUUGACUCUCUUUCUUUAGUUAAUAAUAAUAUGUGUUACUGAUUUCAGCCCAUCUGCUUUUGAGCAGGUAAAAAUAGGUAAAAAAAAAUGGAACGGGUCAAAUCACUCAAAUGGCUGGAACAGGUCAAUGGUUGGCCAAAGUGUACCUAAAAGAAUCCAGAAAUUAUUGCAUGUACAUAUGGACCACAGCCUAUCCAUUUGGAACAUAAGAUUAAACUUUUGGGAAAUAGUCCAGUUGGAAAUGCGUCUUAUGAUGUGUUGGUGGAUGUCCCGUUUCCAGUACAAAGGGAACUUGAUACUGAGAAAGGUUACUGGAGAGCCUUUAAUGCAAAGGAAGGAUGAUACUGCAGCAGUUCUCAAAUCAAGGAAAACGGUGAACAUAAAGGAAAACAGGCCCGUUUCUUUCACUUACGAGGUUGCGUUUGUCGAAAGUGACAUCAAGUGGCCAUCGAGAUGGGAUGCUUAUUAAAAGAUGGUGGGAGCGAAAGUGCAUUGGUUCUCGAUUUUGAACUCGUUUAUGGUUAUCACUUUCUUGGCAGGUAUCGUCCUUGUGAUCUUUUUAAGAACGGUUAGACGGGAUUUGACUCACUACGAGGAGUUAGACAAGGAGGCACAAGCGCAGAUGAACGAAGAAUUAUCGGGUUGGAAGCUCGUCGUAGCUGACGUUUUCCGUGCUCCCAGCAACCCGGGACUUCUAAGCGUAAUGGUUGGAAACGUGGUUCAGAUUCUCGGAAUGGCAGUUGUGACGAUCAUGUUUGCCGCCCUCGGGUUCAUGUCUCCCGCUUCGCGUGGGACUCUGGUGACCGGUAUGCUAAUCUUCUACAUGGUUCUCGGAAAUUCAGCCGAUUACGUUGCUGUACGUAUGUGGUGAACGAUCUUCUGUGGGGACCACAGAGGAUGGGUCUCGAUUUCUUGGAAGGUCGCCUGUUUUUCCCCGGUAUCGCGUUUUAACAAAAUACCAAUACAUUGAUAUAUGUACUUCACCUCCUUUUGUUAAACUAGCUUUUAGUCGUAUUAUGCUAUAAAAGACAUAUGAACGUUGUUCCCGGUAGGUACAUGUACACAUUAAGAGACACUUGAUAUGUGAACUGCCAGAAACCGAUAGUGGCAUCAAACAAUGGUGUAGAGACAGAUUUGUCGAAAAGUGUAGUUGAGGGACUGCACAAGCUCUUCAAUUGCCGGAUGUUGCCCUCAAACAAAAGGUAUACGUAAAGCGCUUAUUUAUCGUCGUUAUUACUGAUUACUGAUGCCAUUGAUCUGGCCAGAAUUGUUGAUCGUCAUUAUUACUGUUAUGCUAGAAAAUGCUAUUGCCGUGUGGACUUCCACCAGAAAGAGAAGAGGAUUAAAGGGCGGUUUAUUCUACAUAUGUGGAGGUUUAGGCUGUGUUUAUGAGUGCAUUAUUGACUAAAUGUGACAGGAUAAUUUGUAUCUUUAUGGUAUCCUGAUAUAGAUGUCUUAUGUACUGUUUCACCAUGCACUAAUGUUUUCGUUCAAAACAUGUUUUUUUUAAGUAUAUUUUUUAUUGUUAUGAUAACUUUGGUA